rnacentral:rRNA from 1 species
UACGGAGGGUGCGAGCGUUGUCCGGAAUCACUGGGCGUAAAGCGCGCGUAGGCGGAUCUGCAAGUCGGGGGUGAAAUCCCGAGGCUCAACCUCGGAACUGCCUUCGAUACUGCGGGUCUCGAGUCCGGGAGAGGUGAGUGGAAUUCCUAGUGUAGAGGUGAAAUUCGUAGAUAUUCGCAAGAACACCAGUGGCGAAGGCGGCUCACUGGUCCGGUACUGACGCUGAGGUGCGAAAGCGUGGGGAGCAAACAGG